CCUACGGGAGGCUGCAGUGGGGAAUUUUGGGCAAUGGCCGAAAGGCUGACCCAGCGACGCCGCGUGUGGGAUGACGCCUCUCGGGGUGUAAACCACUGUCAGAGGGGAAGAAUGGCUCAGGCGUAAAUAAUACCUGAGUGUGACGGUACCCUCAAAGGAAGCACCGGCUAACUCCGUGCCAGCAGCCGCGGUAAUACGGAGGGUGCAAGCGUUGUUCGGAUUUACUGGGCGUAAAGCGCGCGCAGGUGGGUGUGCAAGUCGGAAGUGAAAUCCUG
rnacentral:rRNA from 1 species